ensembl:lncRNA
CUGCAGUAAGCCACGUUUCUCUCCAGGAACUGCAGUAAGCCACGUUUCUCUCCAGGAACUGCAGUAAGCCACGUUUCUCUCCAGGAACUGCAGUAAGCUACGUUUCUCUCCAGGAACUGUAGUAAGCUAUGUUUUUCUCCAGGAACUGCAGUAAGCAAUGUUUCUCUCCAGGAACUGCAGUAAGCCACGUUUCUCUCCAGGAACUGCAGUAAGCCGCGUUUCUUUACAGGAACUGCAGUAUGCCCACAGAAAGCAGAGAAAGAGGGGCCCUAAAUUGUUGAGGCCUCUCUUCUCAAAGAGCGACAGUGGAGACAGACACCGGGUCAACAACCCCUGGGGCCAGCAGCACAAGGACAAAGACAGACGAGCGUCCUAUCACUAAGGAGAACACCCAUCCUCCUCCUCUCAGCCAAUCACAGAGUUCCCUCCCCCUUUCAGCCCAUCGGUUCCUCUGCUGCUGUCGUCAGUGGCUAUGGAGAGGUUACUGAGGGAGAUGUGGCAGAUACUGGACCGAGGCCUCAGCCCCUCCAAACUCACACCCCGGGAGAGCUGGGCCAGGGGCGCUGUCAGGUGGAAAUGUCCGACAGAUCUCAACUCCAUUAAAGGAGGGAAUUGCCAUCGCCUGAUCUCGCUGCUUUCUCUUCCUUAACUCCAUCUGAUCCAGAAGUUCUGUGCGUCCAUAAAUCCAUGUAAGUCCACCGACUCUGUUACCUUUCAUCUGAACGAUCUGGUGCGAUCCGGAGAUGGGCCAUCAGUUAUUGUUUAUCGUUAUUACCGCGGAGCGCGGCUUGGAGCGCACGCUUCAAACAUAUUGUGUAAUGUGAAUUGUCAAUGAUCACGGCCCUACGGAUCCUCAUAGGCCAAUUAUGCAAUCGAUAUGGUUCAUAUGUAUUGAAAUGAAUUAUGUACACAUGAAGACAAUUGAAAGAGUGAAAUGAGAAACGUCAUUGUUUGCUAACCGAUCGACUUUGAUAAUGGGGAUUAUAGAUUGAAUAACCAUGGGUAUUAUAGAUUGAAUAACCAUUCACUGUUUGUAUUCUUUCAUGAUUUAUGGUAAAUAGUUACGAGCCUAAAUGACUCACGGAUGAUUACUAUUGACUUCUUAAUGAACUGGACUGUUGAAUUCCCUAAAUCAUGUUAAUAAUGAAUGAUAUGAUUUGAUCUUUGAUUAUGAAUUUGAUUGGAUACAUGUUAUUUGUUUCCUUUGUGAUGCAGCACAG